GACGAACGCUGGCGGCGUGCUUAACACAUGCAAGUCGAACGAUGAAGCCAGCUUGCUGGUGGCUUAGUGGCGAACGGGUGAGUAACACGUGGGUGAUCUGCCCCAAACUUUGGGAUAAGCCUGGGAAACUGGGUCUAAUACCGAAUAUGACCGAUACUCGCAUGGGUGUUGGUGGAAAGCUCCGGCGGUUUGGGAUGGGCCCGCGGCCUAUCAGCUUGUUGGUGGGGUAAUGGCCUACCAAGGCGACGACGGGUAGCCGGCCUGAGAGGGCGACCGGCCACACUGGGACUGAGACACGGCCCAGACUCCUAUGGGAGGCAGCAGUGGGGAAUAUUGCACAAUGGGCGCAAGCCUGAUGCAGCGACGCCGCGUGAGGGAUGACGGCCUUCGGGUUGUAAACCUCUUUCACCAGGGACGAAGCGAAAGUGACGGUACCUGGAGAAGAAGCACCGGCCAACUACGUG
rnacentral:rRNA from 1 species